rnacentral:rRNA from 1 species
GCUUAACGCGAAGAACCUUACCAAGGCUUGACAUAUACCUGAAAAGGCUGGAAACAGUCUCCCCGCAAGGCAGGUAUACAGGUGGUGCAUGGUUGUCGUCAGCUCGUGUCGUGAGAUGUUGGGUUAAGUCCCGCAACGAGCGCAACCCUCGUUCUAUGUUGCCAGCACGUAAUGGUGGGAACUCAUAGGAGACUGCCGGGGUCAACUCGGAGGAAGGUGGGGAUGACGUCAAAUCAUCAUGCCCCUUAUGUCUUGGGCUCCACGCAUGCUACAAUGGCCGGUACAAAGGGUUGCAAUACCGCAAGGUGGAGCGAAUCCCAAAAAGCCGGUCUCAGUUCGGAUUGAGGUCUGCAACUCGACCUCAUGAAGUCGGAGUCGCUAGUAAUCGCAGAUCAGCAACGCUGCGGUGAAUACGUUCCCGGGUCUUGUACACACC